GAUGAACGCUGGCGGCGUGCCUAAUACAUGCAAGUCGAGCGAACAGACGAGGAGCUUGCUCCUUUGACGUUAGCGGCGGACGGGUGAGUAACACGUGGGUAACCUACCUAUAAGACUGGGAUAACUUCGGGAAACCGGAGCUAAUACCGGAUAAUAUUUCGAACCGCAUGGUUCGAUAGUGAAAGAUGGCUCUGCUAUCACUUAUAGAUGGACCUGCGCCGUAUUAGCUAGUUGGUAAGGUAACGGCUUACCAAGGCAACGAUACGUAGCCGACCUGAGAGGGUGAUCGGCCACACUGGAACUGAGACACGGUCCAGACUCCUACGGGAGGCAGCAGUAGGGAAUCUUCCGCAAUGGGCGAAAGCCUGACGGAGCAACGCCGCGUGAGUGAUGAAGGUCUUCGGAUCGGAAAGCUCUGUUAUUAGGGAAGAACAAACGUGUAAGUAACUGUGCACGGCGUGACGGUACCUAAUCAGAAAGCCACGGCUAACUACGUG
rnacentral:rRNA from 1 species